UACGUAGGGUGCGAGCGUUGUCCGGAUUUAUUGGGCGUAAAGGGCUCGUAGGCGGUUUGUCGCGUCGGGAGUGAAAACCUUGGGCUUAACUCAGGGCUUGCUUUCGAUACGGGCAGACUAGAGGUAUGCAGGGGAGAACGGAAUUCCUGGUGUAGCGGUGAAAUGCGCAGAUAUCAGGAGGAACACCGGUGGCGAAGGCGGUUCUCUGGGCAUUACCUGACGCUGAGGAGCGAAAGUGUGGGGAGCGAACAGG
rnacentral:rRNA from 1 species